rnacentral:rRNA from 1 species
AACUUUACAAUGCAGGCAACUGCGAUAAGGGGACAUCGAGUGGCAGCAUCAUGUGUGUCUGUCCACCCGUACGGGUGUAGCAAGGGCCGGCAAGACGGGUGCCAGCCGCCGCGGUAACACCGGCGGCCCGAGUGGUGAUCGUGAUUAUUGGGUCUAAAGGGUCCGUAGCCGGUUUGGUCAGUCCUCCGGGAAAUCUGAUAGCUCAACUAUUAGGCUUCGGGGAUACUGCCAGACUUGGAACCGGGAGAGGUAAGAGGUACUACAGGGGUAGGAGUGAAAUCUUGUAAUCCCUGUGGGACCACCUGUGGCGAAGGCGUCUUACCAGAACGGUUCGACGGUGAGGGACGAAAGCUGGGGGCACGAACCGGAUUAGAUACCCGGGUAGUCCCAGCCGUAAACGAUGCUCGCUAGGUGUCAGGUGGUGCCGCAGGGAAGCCGUGAAGCGAGCCACCUGGGAAGUACGACCGCAAGGCUGAAACUUAAGGAAUUGGCGGGGAGC